UGGGAGUGAGGCCAUUGGCCAGCAGACCUGGCUGACUUGUCCAAGGAAAAAUGAAUCAACCCUCGGCCCUGAUCAGAGUUUCGGUUUCCUCCUCUGUAAAGUGGGACUAAGAAUGGAAUCUACUUCCCGGGGUCAUUGCGACUCAAGGGAGAUCACGCAGGUGGAAGCAUUGCCUGGCAGGAAGGGCUCCAUCAGUACUGAUCAGUGAUUUGAAAUCGCUGGGUGAAGUCACGGACAUUCCUGGUGUCAGGCACCACAGAAGAGGUGAGCCCGCAGACAGGCAUCCAGGACCCACUAAAUGAGAUUCACAAAG